UGUGUAGGCUGCUAUGCAAGUCGGAUGUGAAAUCCCCGGGCUCAACCCGGGAAGUGCACCCGAAACUGCGUGGCUUGAGUACCGGAGAGGUUGGUGGAAUUCUCGGUGUAGAGGUGAAAUUCGUAGAUAUCGAGAGGAACACCGGUGGCGAAGGCGGCCAACUGGACGAGUACUGACGCUGAGACACGAAAGCGUGGGGGGCAAACAGGAUUAGAUACCCUGGUAGUCCACGCCGUAAACGAUGGGUGCUAGGUGUCACGGGCUUUGACUCCUGUGGUGCCGUAGCCAAUGCAUUAAGCACCCCGCCUGGGAAGUACGGCCGCAAGGCUAAA
rnacentral:rRNA from 1 species